CGUUAUGAGUAGCGUGGGCGGGAAAGCGUCUGUGAGGGAGUGGGUGGUAUCUGCGCAGAAGUGCAUUUGCGCAGACGGAGUGGGAGGUUCUGAGAAGUUAACAGCCCUGUGGUUCUUUAACUGUGCAUAGCUGUACAGUAUCCCUGUGGCUCGUAUUCACCUUCAAAGCUCCAUGUGGCAGUGCCUCGUUUAAAGAGCACAGACAUGUACUGGGGUCUGCUCAUCUUCCUUUGCUCCACCAGACAAGGAUGCCAGGCAGGCAUUUCAUAGUGAACCCUAUAUUUUGUACAAUCUGAAGACACAUUAUGCUUGCUGGUGCAACAUCUAAAAGAGGAAUUUAAAUCCCGUGUUUCUGCCUGCCUGCUUUCCAGUUUACAACUGUAUCAUCAAUGGCAACAAACAACUUCAUUCUACGACUGGGAGGCCGCAGAGUAUUUACCUGCAGAAAUCUACGUAUCAAGCAGUCACAACGCAUUAUCUAAAACCUCUGAAAAAGGUUAGUAAAUUUUUUUUGUUUGUUCUCUGAUCCAGUGAGCAUUGGAUUUCUCCUUUGGAAUUGUUUGGUCUGACCAGCUGAGUACGUUCUUUGCAUACCUGCAUACCAUAACCUGAUAAUAUGCUUUGACAUUUCUAGUUCCCAUUUUUAUUUGCUACAUAAUUAUGAUAGUUGAUAGUUUUAAUUGCAAAUCCACAGCUUAGAGCCUACUUUCAAUUCUUAAGUUCUAAAAAUAAUUGAAUUGUAUAUCAGCGUUAAUAUUUAUGCUGUAUCUCAGUAUAUAAGAACUGCUUAAGUUUUGAGUGCAAAAUCUCACAAAAGGCCUCAAUGAAGGUGAACUGUAACCAUUUUUUCUGCUUUUUGUUUGUAGUUAUAGUGUCUUUAACAAUACAAUAAAUCUUUUUACUCAAAUUACAUUGAAAAAUGACUUGAAAGGUUGUCAGUAGUUACAGUGUUUCUUCAGCCAAAAUUAGUCUAGAUGUUCUAUUCCAGCUGAGGCAAAUUCAUCUUUUAUCUUGUUUUUUAGGUUCAAACAUAUCUAUUCAGAAAGACUAUAUCUCUAUGUAAAAAUUACAAUAUCAUGCUAAAAUAUCAAUAUUAUGUAUAUGUGAGCGUGUGUGUAUAUAGUUAAAGUUGUGUGUGAUGAAAUUCAGUGUGAUGUAAAACAGUAGUUUGUCUUGAAAUGUUCUCAGUCAUAAUAGAAUCAUUUGAAUUGGAAGGACCCUUAAAGGUCAUCUAGUCCAACUCUCCUUCAGUGAGCAGGGACACCUACAUUACAUCAGGUGCUCCUCAGAGCCCCGUGCAGGCUGAUCUUGAGCGUAUCCAUGUAUGGAGCAUCCACCACCUUUCUGAGCAACCAGAGUGCCUCACCAUCCUUAUUGU